rnacentral:rRNA from 1 species
UACAGAGGUCCCAAGCGUUGUUCGGAUUCACUGGGCGUAAAGGGUGUGUAGGCGGUCGGGUAAGUCUGAUGUGAAAUCUCACAGCUUAACUGUGAAACUGCAUUGGAUACUAUCCGGCUCGAGGAAUGGAGGGGAGACUGGAAUACUUGGUGUAGCAGUGAAAUGCGUAGAUAUCAAGUGGAACACCAGUGGCGAAGGCGAGUCUCUGGACAUUACCUGACGCUGAGGCACGAAAGCCAGGGGAGCAAACGGG